AACGAACGCUGGCGGCAUGCCUAACACAUGCCAGUCGAACGAGACCUUCGGGUCUAGUGGCGCACGGGUGCGUAACGCGUGGGAACCUGCCCUUAGGUUCGGAAUAACUCCCCGAAAGGGGUGCUAAUACCGGAUAAUGUCUUCGGACCAAAGAUUUAUCGCCUUUGGAUGGGCCCGCGUUGGAUUAGCUAGUUGGUAGGGUAAAAGCCUACCAAGGCGACGAUCCAUAGCUGGUCUGAGAGGAUGAUCAGCCACACUGGGACUGAGACACGGCCCAGACUCCUACGGGAGGCAGCAGUGGGGAAUAUUAGACAAUGGGCGAAAGCCUGAUCCAGCAAUGCCGCGUGAGUGAUGAAGGCCUUAGGGUUGUAAAGCUCUUUUACCCGGGAUGAUAAUGACAGUACCGGGAGAAUAAGCUCCGGCUAACUCCGUG
rnacentral:rRNA from 1 species